rfam:Nicotiana attenuata strain TT chromosome 3, whole genome shotgun sequence.
UGGACAGAUUAUUGUAUUCGACUGUAUUCACAGUGAGAAACAGGGGAUUAUAUUGUUUUUAAACGGACAGUGAAUCAAUUAACAUAAUAGACUCCU